rnacentral:rRNA from 1 species
GGCAGCAGUGAGGAAUAUUCUGCAAUGGGCGAAAGCCUGACAGAGCAAUACCGCGUGAGGGAUGACGGCCUAUGGGUUGUAAACCUCUUUUCUCAAGGAGGAAGAUCUGACGUUACUUGAGGAAUAAGCAUCGGCUAACCCUGUGCCAGCAGCCGCGGUAAUACAGGGGAUGCAAGUGUUAUCCGGAAUUAUUGGGCGUAAAGCGUCUGCAGGUUGAUCUAUAAGUCUUUUGUUAAAUUUUCAGGCUUAACCUAAAAACAGCAAAAGAAACUAUUUAUCUUGAGUAUGGUAGAGGUAAGGGGAAUUUCGAGUGGAGCGGUGAAAUGCGUAGAUAUUCGAAAGAACACCAAUAGCGAAGGCACCUUACUGGGCCAUUACUGACACUCAGAGACGAAAGCUAGGGUAGCAAACGGGAUUAGAUACCCCGGUAGUCCUAGCUGUAAACGAUGGAUACUAGGUGUUGCGUACUUUAUAGUAUGCAGUGUCGUAGCUAACGCGUUAAGUAUCCCGCCUGGGGAGUAUGGUCGCAAGGCUGAAACUCAAAGGAAUUGACGGGGGCUCACACAAGCGGUGGAGGAUGUGGCUUAAUUCGAGGCUACGCGAAGAACCUUACCUAGACUUAACAUGCUUAGGAACUCCUGUGAAAGCAGGAGGUGCCCUUCGGGGAGCCUUUGCAUAGGUGCU